rnacentral:rRNA from 1 species
UACGAAGGGGGCUAGCGUUGCUCGGAAUUACUGGGCGUAAAGCGCACGUAGGCGGCUUCUUAAGUCGGUGGUGAAAUCCUGGAGCUCAACUCCAGAACUGCCUUCGAUACUGGGAGCUCGAGUCCGGGAGAGGUGAGUGGAACUGCGAGUGUAGAGGUGAAAUUCGUAGAUAUUCGACAAGAACACCAGUGGCGAAGGCGGCUCACUGGCCCGGUACUGACGCUGAGGU